UGGUCGACAAUGGUCGGCGAGAUGAAGUGGACAUGCGCGUCGAUCGCUCCGGCGGUGACGAUCUUCCCGUUGCCCGCGAUGACCUCGGUCUCGGGACCGAUGACCAGAUCGGGAUGGACACCGUCCAUGGUGUCGGGAUUGCCCGCCUUGCCGAUCCCGGUGAUCCGGCCGUCCCGUACUCCGAUGUCGGCCUUGACGAUGCCCCAGUGGUCGAUGAUCAGGGCGCCGGUGAUCACGGUGUCGGGCGCGCCCUCGGCCCGUGUCGUACGGGACUGGCCCAUCGACUCGCGGAUCA
rnacentral:sRNA from 1 species